GAUGAACGCUGGCGGCGUGCCUAAUACAUGCAAGUCGAGCGAACGGACGAGAAGCUUGCUUCUCUGAUGUUAGCGGCGGACGGGUGAGUAACACGUGGAUAACCUACCUAUAAGACUGGGAUAACUUCGGGAAACCGGAGCUAAUACCGGAUGAUAUUUUGAACCGCAUGGUUCAAAAGUGAAAGACGGUCUUGCUGUCACUUAUAGAUGGAUCCGCGCUGCAUUAGCUAGUUGGUAAGGUAACGGCUUACCAAGGCAACGAUGCAUAGCCGACCUGAGAGGGUGGUCGGCCACACUGGGGCUGAGACACGGUCCAGACUCCUACGGGAGGCAGCAGUAGGGAAUCUUCCGCAAUGGGCGAAAGCCUGACGGAGCAACGCCGCGUGAGUGAUGAAGGGCUUCGGAUCGUAAAACUCUGUUAUUAGGGAAGAACAUAUGUGUAAGUAACUGUGCACAUCUUGACGGUACCUAAUCAGAAAGCCACGGCUAACUACGUGC
rnacentral:rRNA from 1 species